AAACCGGAUGUAACAUUUUGUUAAAGUAAACACAUCGCACAUGGUACUUGGAACUUACGCGAUGAAAAUUACAUAUCUAACCAAUACAAAGAAUUAGUAAAUUUUAUUAUCGUUAAGUGUUGUCCCAAAUAAUUCCAAUCAUCUUUGAAAAAAAUCUAUUUUUACAGACAAUACCAUAAAAAAAUGGUAAUAUUUAUUUUAUUUGCUAGAACAAUAAUUCCAGAAAAAAAUUCCAAUAGGAUGGAAAUAAAUUAAAACUACCGCAAUAUUUUUACAUUUACUAACCGUGGGAAAAUAUUUAAUUUUGGUAAAGUACGACAUUUCGGAUUUAUAGUUGUGAGAAAAUGGUAUGUUAUACAGUUAACAUUUUCCCAAGGUCAUUAAAUGCAUAAAUAAAGGGGAAGACCUGAAGUUUUUACUCGAUAACCUAAUCAAACCCAGGCAAAACGAUAAUACAUCCAAAUGCAUUUCACCUAAUGAAAAUAGAAAUUUAAAUUUUACUGUCCUCUUUCUCGCUUUCUUCUACAAAUCUAAUGGUCAACUUCGAGUGGUACAUAUUUUGUAUGAAAAUUUUCGUCAGUUUUAUUACCAUUAAUAAUAUCCUGUGUUUGUUUAUAUGCUGGUCAAGUUAGUCGUUUUGAGUAUCGUAACGCCUUCGACUUGGUGUCAGCUAUUUUACUCAAGAAGUUAUGUGUUUGGCAUAAAUGAUUACCGUUUCAGCUCCAUAGAAUACGAUUGUUUUUGUCUAUCUUGAUUUUGAUAGAGAGGUCGAAUAAAAGCAGCAGCAACCUUUACCAUUCUGUGUUGUUAAUUUGAGGUUAGCUUGACAGGAACAACCUUUACUUUAAGGAAUUGUUUAACUCUAUUGAUGAAUUCGCUCCAAAUACCCAAAAUUAUUUUUCAGAGAUUGAAGUUUCGGAUCUGAGCACAUCUACCCAUAUUUAAGUAUUUUGAUAAAGUUACGUCCCUUUGUCGUUGCUGUAUAAAAUAUCCGAAACACUUUUCUAAGAGGAUGUAAUAGGUUUCCUCAGCAGGUUAGAUAACGAAUAACUGCAUUUUUAAGAGUCCAUAAUCUAGUACUAAUGUUUAUACUAUUUGAUUUCCAUUUUCUAAAAAACUAUUCCUUCGAACAUUCCCUAAAAAGCGCGAUAACAUUCUUCAGCGGACACUAAAUCUCAUUUGUAUUUUUUAAAUUUUAGUUUCUUGUCUGUUGCUUCGUUAAACGAAUCUUCCGUCAGCAAUCUUAACGCCCCUCAAUUAAGGGUUCUAGCAAAAGGGAAAACUGCUCACUUCGUCUACCGUUACCAAAUGUUUUUCUAAGGUGUAAAGCGAACGUAGCAGCAAACACUAAGAAACGUUACAUGGUUGGUUCAUUUUCUUGGUCAUUUUGAACCAAUCAGACCAUUUCCUUUUGUUGCAAAUCGUUUUUUACUGAUAGACCACAGUUACUGUUUUCAUCUAUGUUGUUUUGGUACCUAAAGUUGCCUGAAGAGGAAAAGAUAGCUGUCUUUAAGACUAAAUACACAGAUAUUUUACUUUAACAAAUUACAUUAUUUACAUUUGACGGAUAUUUAAAUAUAGAACUGUUUUAACAAAUUAGUUGUGCUUCAGAUUCUUUGUCAGUAAGGCAUUCUCUCUUUGUCCUUUUCUGGACAACAGUCUCAAAUUCAUCAACAUUCCAGCCAAAUACUGCAGCAGAUUAUCACUCAGUUGCCUUCAGAACUACAAUCAACUACUAUUAACAAGAUGUAAGGUCACAGUAUAAACAAAACAUGACAUCUGUACCUUUAGAAUUACAACCAGUUGCCAUGAAACUCUGUCAUCAUCACAGAACUAACCACAGCAACCAACAUAUUUCCUACUUAUCAACUUUUACCAACUUCUCAACUGAAAAUACCAACUCUAUGUCAGAACACCAUCUUCUCUUCAUAUCAACACAAGUUAUUACAAAGUGUUGACCAGAAUAACAGACCAGAUAUUUCCAACUCUUGAAUAAAAGACAUUAGGUAAAAAUAUUACAAUUGUUAUUCUUUGUCUCACUCUUGUUCUGCCUUAAAAAUUCUAUUAGUAACUCUAGCAUUAUUACAUUCUUUUGAGGUUUUGCUGUUGAUGUCUGUUGGGCUUUUUAUAAUAGCCUUUGUGUUGUCUGACAUAGAUACCAUGUUUUGUUUAUACUGUGGCAUCAUGUUCUAAAAUGCAAACAGUAGUGUUUAUUUGAUGGUUGACUGUCAUGUACUUUGAGCUUCUACACACUUCAAUAUUUUACUUUGCAUGCAUGUUGAAAAUGUAUACAUACUUUUGGUUGUUACAGCUGUAUAUAUUUUUUAUUUCAUACAAACAUGUACACAUGCAUAUAUUUUUGCCACCAUAAUCUUGUGUUGUUCAAAAAUUUGGAAUUCUAUACACAGCAAUAUUAUAUUUUCAUCUAUCAGUUCCAAACUUAAUAUUAUUUAGAUUGCUAACAUUUCUCGUCUAAAGCCUUAUUUGAUCUCAAUGUUUUUGUAUUGUAGCUUAUAGAUGUUUCUGUUCCAUUCAGAUGUACUUACUAUCUUGAAUAAAAGAUGUGUUUCAACAAU
rnacentral:lncRNA from 1 species